CGCCGGAGCACGUCCCCUCCCCGCCGGGCGCCGGGCUCCGAGGGUGCCUCCGCCGCCUGCCCGCCGGCUCUGCCCCGGUGCGCGCGUGUGGGAGGGUGUGUGUCUGUGCCGUAGCCGCCGCCGCCGCCGCCUGUAGCUGAGGCUGGCAUCGCCGAGCCCCCGCGCGGGGGGCUGCCGCCCGAGCUCCUGAUUGACAGGCCGCCUCGCCAAUGCCUGGAGGGAGAAAGGAGACAGACAGCAAGAAGAAACAAAACCAGAGGAGAAGAAUGGAGCUGGAUUGUCUGUGAAGACCUUCAGGCUACAGAGAAGCUGCACUCGUAAUGCAGAGAAUGCAGCUGGAGGAGCUCUUUGAUUUAACUGUUGUUACUGAAAUCUGUGUAGCAUCAAGUGAUUUAGAGCAGGGAGUUAUCUUAGAAUUCUGGAAAGAUUCAAGAAUGCAUGUCUUCCUACCAGAUCGUAAGCUUGUCAGGGCCACAUCUGUCCUGCUUACUGCUGAAUCCCAGCUGGCAGAACAUAGACAUUUCAUAAUAUUUUUGGAGCAAAAGCAUCAAUCGGACUACCAUGUGUAA
rnacentral:lncRNA from 13 species